rnacentral:rRNA from 1 species
GAGGAAGUAAAAGUCGUAACAAGGUUUCCGUAGGUGAACCUGCGGAAGGAUCAUUACAGUAGUCACCCAGGUUGCCGCAAGGCCUCCUGGGUAACCUACCACCCUUUGUUUAUUACACUUUGUUGCUUUGGCAAGCCUGCCCUCGGGCUGCUGGCUCCGGCCGGCGAGCGCUUGCCAGAGGACCUAAACUCUGUUUGUCUAUACUGUCUGAGUACUAUAUAAUAGUUAAAACUUUCAACAACGGAUCUCUUGGUUCUGGCAUCGAUGAAGAACGCAGCGAAAUGCGAUAAGUAAUGUGAAUUGCAGAAUUCAGUGAAUCAUCGAAUCUUUGAACGCACAUUGCGCCCCCUGGUAUUCCGGGGGGCAUGCCUGUCCGAGCGUCAUUACAACCCUCAAGCUCAGCUUGGUAUUGGGCCCCGCCGACCCGGCGGGCCCUAAAGUCAGUGGCGGUGCCGUCCGGCUCCGAGCGUAGUAAUUCUUCUCGCUCUGGAGGUCCGGUCGUGUGCUCGCCAGCAACCCCCAAUUUUUUUCAGGUUGACCUCGGAUCAGGUAGGGAUACCCGCUGAACUUAAGCAUAUCA